GAAUCUCUGCUGCUGCCUGAUUGUGUACUUCUGGUUCCAAUGUGUCAGUUCAUAACUCUGGUGUUCGUAACUCUGUGGUUCUACUGUACAUAUCAUCCAGUGUUCCACAGGCUGUCCUUAACUUUCUGUUCAGUACGGAGUACAAGUUCUAAUAUGCAAAGCUCUGGCUACAUCAAGGAUCAUUUCUCUGACUAGCCAUGGCAAUUAUAGUCAGGGGUUGGAUUUGGGAUGGAAGUGGAGGGGAGAAAUAUUGGCACUCUUUCAAUGUCUGCCCACAAAAUAAACUCUGCCCACUUGAUACCACUCAGACUAUGUACUAAUUCAAAAUAUUGAAUCAUACAGGCUCUCUAGGCUCCGCUCUCCUCUGAUGAGUUUAGUGCCUCAGCAAUACAGCCACAGGCUCUUCUGGGCUGGCCUCCUUGGCCUUAGCUCCUUCUUGUUUGCAGGGAGGUAACCCACCCACUCAGUAAAAAUGUCAAUACAUUAUGCUGAUCUGCAUAAUGUGAUCCUUCCUCCCAUAUUUUGAAAUGAGCCGUGAAAUAUUUAACAAUGCUGAUGUGUAAGGCUGGGAUUUUCAAGUGAGUGUAAGGGGGUUAGGCACCCAACACUCACUGAAAUUUAGUGGGUCCAACUCUAACGUAUCACUUGCCUGAAGUUAACUCCUUUUAAAAAAAAGGAAGCAGCUGACCCCUCUCAGAGCUAUUGUUGGAGGUAAACUCAACAGACAUACUGUUCACUUUUCCAAAGUUUCAUUAAUAAUCAUAACAGUGCCUUUUUAAAAUACUUUAUUUUGAAAUGAAAGCUGAGAUCCUGGAGAACAAAGCGGCUUGAGAGAAGUGCUGGUAGGCCAUACCGCUGUGUACCAGCCUAACUCAUGCCCUGGUUACCGUUAUCUAAGGACUUAUAUGGUCCUCAUCACCACAGUAUCCAAGCACCUACCAUAGCAAGAACAAGACUGGUAGGAGCAGAGGACUGGGUUGUCUCAAUAGCUGGCUCACAGGUAUGGAACUCCAGACAGAAUGAUUCUAGCUCUCUUCAAAGGUCUUCCACUUUUGUUUGAAUCUCUCUUUGCCUUUCCUUCUGUAUACCCUCAUUCCCACCAACAGGCCAAGAUCAACAGUAAAAGAAAGUGAAAAGUCAUGGUAAAAUAAGUAUGAAGAAGACCAAAAAAAACCCCAAAUGCAGGAAGAAAUUGAAAAUACAAUCCUGAUUUCUUGUAUGCUUAUGUAAUUUUUGUUCACUGAGUCACCAGUGUGACAGGCAUAAUUCGAUUGCAAACAUCCAUCAAAAUAAGACAAAUAGGCAACAUGAAAUUCAACACAGAAAGAGGUCAGGCAAUGCUAAUUCAAAGGAACAAUUUAAACCACUUGUGUACCCAGAUGGGUUCCAAAUUAAUUGCAUCCUCAGGAGAUAAAUAUAGGUAUCACUGGACAGCUCAAUGAGUGUGCACCUCAUCUUUAGAGAGUCAGCAAAAAUGGAAUGUAUAAACAUAUGAGCAACAAAAUAUACGGAAAGGGAACCUUUCAUGCAAAGAUUAAAAGACAAUGGAAUUAUACUUAUGAAAGUCUGGAAAGAAGACAAGCAAGAAAAAAUAUCAUGAAUGGUAUAAAAAAAGGACAUUUGGACAAUACUGCUUAAACUGUCCCUUAAAAAUUAAAGGCAACACGUUUGAAACAGAUAGAAGUAAACAAUGCUUGUGAAACACAUAAUCAGCCUUUGAAAUACACUGUCCUCAAGUACAGUAUGAUUUUAAAAAGGAUUAAGGCAGUAUAUAAAUGACAUCUGCAGUUAUACUAAUUAAGAUAAAAGGCCUAGUAACCAUUCUUCAGGACAAAAAAUAAUUAUCAACUGGGGUCAGGAAGAAAGUUCUCACAUAGUAAAAUUAUGUGCAUUACUGGGGGUGGAUGGAUGGGGUGAAACACCUUCUGAAGCAUCAGACUUCAAUCUUGGCUGUAGACAGAAUACGGAAAGAUCACUGGCCAGUAUGCCAAUUUAUAAUAAAAUAACUGAAAGCUAUAAACAUUCAAACGGUAUAAAUAACAAAGAUUUUUAUUACUUAACUGCAUAACUGUUUGAAGAGAGCAUUGAUGAAACUUGCUAGAAUCAACGUAACAAAGCAGCAUAUUUUUAAACUAGACACAUAACAAAAAUAUAAAAAAUUAUACAUUUCAAAAACACUUUUUUACUCAUUUAGAAAUGAAUGAGAUUCCUGAGGACCAUUAUUAGACUAUUUCCUUUGGUUCUGAAAUCAACUUUCUAAGAUUUUGUAUAGUUUUUAGAGAACAUUUGUAACAAUUCUGUAUGUUAAGGAUUUUAAGUCAGCAAUGCUAAACAUUUGUCACCAGUAUGAGUAAACCUUAAAAAAAAAAAAAAGUUUUUGCUGAAAGCCUGAGCAGUUGCCAUAAGUUAAAGAACUGGAAAAACCAAGCUCACUGAAAAUUGCAGAAUGGUAGAAGAAAAUGAGAGAACCCCUAAUCUUGGGAAGGGUAUCUCUACCCAAAAAGAAAAAAUGAAGUUUUGAAGAGAGACAUUCCUGGUGCCUUGAUGUAUACAAUACUACGUUCUAAGACAGCAACAUAGGCACCAGUAUAGGGGGGUGGGGGGAGGGUCUUUUUGUUUGUUUGUUUGAAGUGUUUUGCCAUGUAGUUAGGUCUACUUACUAUAGAUCCUCCAAUACCAUCCCCUUCUUAGUCUGUUUUAAUUAUGUAAGUAUUUUUAUUUUCUUAGUUUAAUGGUGAAAAAAAAGUAGAUAAAUCUUAAACAUCUUUUGUUCACCUGCUUUUCAGAUCUUUGGAACAACAUUUAAGUAACAAAAAAAAGUUUCUCUUACCAGUAGCAGUCUAUCACCCGUCAACUCCAAAUGCUUUUGUUAUCACAAGUUCCACGAUGCAGUUCUUAAUAACCGAGACCCUAUCUACAAGGGAAGUCCUGCCAAUGAACUAUUUUGUCUAAAAUCUAAAAAAGUCUCCAAGGGCUUUUCAAACUGUGUUAUCAAAAGAUUAAAAUAUCACAGAACAUUUGGCA